CUCUGGGAAUUACAGUGGACAAUGGGAGGCAUUCUUAGGAGGGUCUAAUGAUGGAAUAAAAAGAAAAAUAUUUAUUGCUUUUGACAGUUCCACAAGGGGCAAAAAUCCUUGUCGUGGCUAAAGUUUCCCUAGCUGUUGGAGGAAGGCGGCUCACAGGGACUCAAACAGUUCCACUUCCUUUGUUAGGAGGCUGAGGACCAGGGCCAAGCUGGGAAAUUAAAGAUUAAGUUCAUUAAGACAGGGGAGCUCCAAACUUCCAAUAAAUCUACCAUGAAAAAACCAGCUGGGACCCAAAGAGAAAGCCAUAAGGAUGUUUACGGACUCUCAGCUCUCUGGGGAGGCAGCUAAGUUUCACGUGCUAGUAAUUCUCUCUUUCUGAAUGCUUCCUGCUUCAGGCUGGUCAGCCUUGACUUACCCCAGAGGACACCAGGACAUUGGCCAGAGAAUCAGGGAGGGAGAUAGGAUGCAAUCUGAAUGGAAGAUGGGGCAAGUGGCUUGACCUUGAUCGCCGUUAGAAGCCUGACCUUCAAGACUGGACCAAGCUAUGUCUAUUCAUGGCCCACGAUGGUGGAGGACUCACUAGUUAGUAUUACAAGGGAGACUUGGACCCAGGGGAGAGCCAGGACUUGCUAGAGACGAGCUGAUUUCCCUGUCCACACUCACCUCCUCCUGUACAUGUGAAUCAUCAAGCACUGCUGUGCGGGGGCAGAAAUGAAGCCAAACACGGUCCGUGGGUGUGGGAAGCAGCCUUUUCCUACUCUGCCAUAGAAGUAUGAAUUGGUAAACUCGGCAGGGGGGUAAUUUGGCAACAAUAAUACAACAAAACCCUUAAAUAACCAUAUAUGCUUUGUCCCAGCAGUUGCAUUUCUAGAAAUGUAGGUAAUAUUUAAAUAGCAUUCAGAAGUGCUUAUGACAGCAUCAGAACCCUGGGAGAAACCUCAUCAACACCCACUGAUUUGGUUAGUUAAUAAACGAGGGCGCGGCCUUUCCUUGGUGUA